rnacentral:lncRNA from 1 species
GAGAACUGGUAGACUAGAAAAAGGAUUGAAUUAAGAGAAGAACUGGUUUUAGUUCUGACAUUGGGCCCUAACUAAUGGAAAGGAAAGCACCUCACAUUCCAGGGUUUCAAUUUCUGCAUAUAUGACAUGAGGGACAGGUUGCUGAACUAGAAUGUUUUCUGUGUCUGAUGUAGUGUGUACCCUACAAUUCCUAUGCCAGGCUAACUCGACCUCUCCCUCUCUUGUCCACUCUGUAUUCAGAAGCUUGGAAAGCACACACUUUGCCCCAAAGAGGAUGGCUGUCUACAGUAUUAUUAUCUUUUUUUUUUUUUUUAAGUAAGCUCCACACCCAGCACGUGGGGCCUGAACUCACAACUGUGAGAUCAAGACCCUUGCUGAGAUCAAGCACCAGACGCCUAACCGACUGAGCCACCCAGGUGCCCCUACAGUAUUGUCAUCUUUGUCGUCUCUCUUGGGUCACAGAGCAAUAGUGAGUAAUCACAGUUGAAGGACAAUUGGAAGAUGGGGUUAUUUAAUGCAGGGCUCUUCCUCCUGGACAUGACUCUCCCAGCAACCAAGACCCUGCUGUGUGUUCCAAAGAAUACAUCACCACCGCGACCACCAUCAUCAUCAUCUUCUUCUUCUUCUUCGUCGUCAUCAUCAUCAUCAUCAUCAUUAAAACAGGCCUUCGUUUCUUGGUGAGCAUAAAAAACAGAUCCUGCCUUCCUAAACCAUGAAUCCAACACCUGGGAAGACAGCUGAAAGGUAGAUCUCAGGUGUCCUUAUGAUUCAUUCUUUUUGUCUGUACUG